rnacentral:rRNA from 1 species
UACGGAGGGUGCAAGCGUUAUCCGGAUUCACUGGGUUUAAAGGGUGCGUAGGUGGGCAAGUAAGUCAGUGGUGAAAUCUCCGGGCUUAACCCGGAAACUGCCAUUGAUACUAUUUGUCUUGAAUACUGUGGAGGUCAGCGGAAUAUGUCAUGUAGCGGUGAAAUGCUUAGAUAUGACAUAGAACACCAAUUGCGAAGGCAGCUGGCUACACAAAUAUUGACACUGAGGCACGAAGGCGUGGGGAGUCAAACA